rnacentral:lncRNA from 1 species
AUUCUACCAUGCUCAGUAUUAAGGAUAGCAGAUGCUGUAUAUAUAAUUGUUUAUACAAAUACAUGGGCGUCCGCCAAGGGUGGGUUGGAACCUCCUCUGCUCCCAACAACAGAAAGAGAAGUAAAUAAACCCAAAUAUUGAGCCUUUCCACUGACGUCAUAAAUUGGAUCAUAAUUGAAGAAGAAGCCAUCAAUGGUGAUAUUUUCUCCACAUAAAAUAGUCAAAUUUCCAAUAAAUUUUGAAUAAACUUUAUCAAAUGACUUUAAGAAUAUAAAAGACUAAGCACCAACAUUAAAUAUUACUUGAUGCCAAUGACAAUCAUAGAUAUUGUAAUUUAAUCAGAGUAAUGUGUACUGAAAAUCCUCACUUAUAUCUAGAUUUAUACAAUUAAUUGUUUUUUUGAUCGAUUAAGAUCAAGAAAAUUCGAGUAAUUAGAGAAAAAUAUAUUAUUCAUUCCGUUGUAAUUGUUAAUUUAUUGUAUAUAAUAUGGAAAUAAGAUUGAAUGACAAUGUAAUAAAAUAUUUUAGUGUAAGAUAUGCAAUGAAACUAUGGAAUAGUUUCAUUAGAUUGUAAAGUUAUUUUUUUUGUUUGUUGGUCCCAUUUUGACAUCCAAUAGUUUACUAUUUUCCUUAAUAUUAAUAAAAAAGGGUUUUCAUUUUUAUCCAACAUGGUUGCUUAAAUAUAGAUAAGUCAUUAAU